rnacentral:rRNA from 1 species
UACAGGGGGUGCAAACGUUGCUCGGAAUCAUUGGGCGUAAAGCGUGCGUAGGCGGCUGCGCAAGUCGGGUGUGAAACCCCGGGGCUCAACCCCGGAACUGCAUCCGAUACUGCGUGGCUAGAGGUAGGUAGGGGAGAUCGGAAUUCCUGGUGUAGCGGUGAAAUGCGCAGAUAUCAGGAGGAACACCGGUGGCGAAGGCGGAUCUCUGGGCCUUACCUGACGCUCAGGCACGAAAGCUAGGGGAGCGAACAGG